GAUGAACGCUGGCGGCGUGCCUAAUACAUGCAAGUCGAGCGAACAGACGAGGAGCUUGCUCCUCUGACGUUAGCGGCGGACGGGUGAGUAACACGUGGAUAACCUACCUAUAAGACUGGGAUAACUUCGGGAAACCGGAGCUAAUACCGGAUAAUAUAUUGAGCCGCAUGGUUCAAUAGUGAAAGACGGUUUCGCUGUCACUUAUAGAUGGAUCCGCGCCGCAUUAGCUAGUUGGUAAGGUAACGGCUUACCAAGGCAACGAUGCGUAGCCGACCUGAGAGGGUGAUCGGCCACACUGGAACUGAGACACGGUCCAGACUCCUACGGGAGGCAGCAGUAGGGAAUCUUCCGCAAUGGGCGAAAGCCUGACGGAGCAACGCCGCGUGAGUGAUGAAGGUCUUCGGAUCGUAAAACUCUGUUAUUAGGGAAGAACAAAUGUGUAAGUAACUAUGCACGUCUUGACGGUACCUAAUCAGAAAGCCACGGCUAACUACGUG
rnacentral:rRNA from 1 species